UUGUAGAUUUUUACGUUGAAAAGAUUGCUGACUGAAUCUGUGCAUUUUCAUUCUUAGGAUGGAGAUGCAAUGCCAUGCACACACAAAUGUACAUGUUAGAGGGGGCCUCAAGGUGGAACAUGAGCCGGACAAAAGAAGCUGUAUCUGUGGUGGGGGCCUCAACCCUCAGGACAUUUGAUGUCUGCACAAUGUCUCAUUUAAACAGCAUUAGCCAACGGGUCCUUGGUCGGGCUUUGAUGCCAGAAUUUACCCCUCCAGGAAAACCCACUGGUAAGAUAUCUCACAGGGAAAUGCUGAGCAUUGGAGUAUUUCUCUCUCUCCUGUAUUUGUUUGUUUGUGUGUGUGUAUGUGUGUCCUCUCCCCAUUAACAAUGUGGUAAAAAUUAUUGCAGGGAAGCGCAUUGCAGUGGAGUACUUGUUGGCCCAGUGCAACAGAGGUGACCAGUUGAUUGCACAUCACAAUGACAUGCCUGAAGUCCCCCCAGAGGAGCCCGAAGAGGAUAGUGAAAUUGACACGACUGUGUGCUAUGCAGCUGACCUUAGGGCUGAUGACUCUGAUCCUCCAGUAGCUGUUGUGCAGGCCCAGGUGACCAGUCAGGUUGGUGACACUGAACCCAAAUCCCCUGAUGAGGAGGUCACUAAGGAAGAGGAAGAUGACACUGCAAGUCCUAGCACAUCAAGCCAGACUACACAGUGUGAUUCCAGAGGUGUCUUGGGCUGGGAGGCAGUUGAUGCCCUGGCAGCCUACUUGGUUGGCCUAAACCGAACGAUCACUGCCUUGUCAUCACAAGAGGAGGCCAACAUAGUCCAGCUGUACAUGGCUCUGCAUACCAUGGACAAGGUACCAUAUAAAAUAUAGCCAGAGGGUUAAGAAGAAGGCUUUGACAGGACCUUGGAGAGCAUCCAGGAAGCAGAGUGGCUCUGCUCCAGGACAGCAGGCAGCAGAGAGGUAAUUUGACUAUUUGGAUCGUCACUAGUUUAUAACCCAGUAUACAGUUCAGAUUAUAUCAUCUUUCUUUUCCAUAGAUUGUUC
ensembl:lncRNA